CCUACGGGAGGCAGCAGUGGGGGAUAUUGCACAAUGGGGGGAACCCUGAUGCAGCGACGCCGCGUGGGUUCAGAAGCGCCUCGGCGCGUAAAGCCCUGUCAGCAGGGAAGAAAAUGACGGUACCUGAAGAAGAAGCCCCGGCUAACUACGUGCCAGCAGCCGCGGUAAUACGUAGGGGGCAAGCGUUAUCCGGAUUUACUGGGUGUAAAGGGGGCGCAGACGGCGAUGCAAGCCAGGAGUGAAAGCCCGGGGACCAACCCCGGGACUGCGCGUGGAACUGCGUGGCUGGAGUGCAGGAGGGGCAGGCGGAAUUCCUGGUGUAGCGGUGAAAUGCGUAGAUAUCAGGAGGAACACCGGUGGCGAAGGCGGCCUGCUGGACUGCAACUGACGUUGAGGCCCGAAAGCGUGGGGAGCAAACAGGAUUAGAUACCCUUGUAGUC
rnacentral:rRNA from 1 species